UGCACGGUGGCGCAGUGGGUAGCGCUGUUGCCUUGCAGCAAGAAAGUUCUGGGUUCGAUUCCCAACGUGUUUUCCCCAUGCAU